CUGUGGCUGAGGAAGGUGGGAUGGGUGAGGCUGGGCCUGUUCCCAUUAGUCACAGAGCCACAGCUUAAACGGAGCUGAAGUGCAGUGGGAGCUCCCUCUUGUGGAUCCAUCUUCUCCCCAGUCAGAACCAUACCAGAGCACAAGGAAAAAGUCACAAAUUCAACUAGGGGAAGUUUAGGUUGGAUAUCAGGGGAAUUUCUUCAUGGUGAGGGUGAUCAAGCACCAGAAUGGGCUGCCCAAAGAAGUGGUGGGGUCUCCAUCCCUGGAGGCACUCAAGAGACCCAUCGAUGUGGCAUUCAGGGACCUGGUUUAGUGAUGGGAAUCACUAGGUCAGGCUGAUGGUUGGCCUGGAGGGUCUUGAAGCUCUUUCCCAGCCUAAAGGAUUCUGUGAUUCCAGACUCAGAACUCUUUUCCCAAGUGGCUUCCCCCAUUUCUGACACAUCAAAGCUUUUAUUGGCUAGCAGCAAUUACUCUUGGUUAGCGUGGCCAAAAGCAGUUAUGAUAAAGUUUGUUUGUUUGUUUUCCCUGGUCACAGUCCCCGAGUGUGAGGUCUGGGUCUGAGGGUAAAUAAAGAAUAGGAACAUGAAGCCCAAGGGUGGAGACAUGAUGAUGAGCAUGUCCUGGAUGGAAACUCAUCCACACCAGCACUGUCCCUCAAAACCAUUAGGCAUGAUCAUGAAUGUGCCUACUGCACGUCCAGCUAAUCCUCUUAAGGGUGGCUAUCAAAGGAGAUGAAAGUGUCCUAGGCACAGCAUGAAGAAUGUGUUUUUCUUUCUGCUGGUCAUUAGUUUUAAAGGGAAUCAAAACCGAGGAAAAUGUAGACUUAUUUUAUAUUUUACUUUCUUUCAUGCUGAGACAUGGUAUUCAGAGUGGGCCCUACCUCAGCACCCAUAACACCCUCCUGCCUUUUACUCAGUGCAAUGGACUCUGAACUGGAUGCACAAAGACCUGCAGAUUUUGUCCAACUGUUUUCCUCCUAGCAGUUAACCCCAAAAAGAUACAUGGGCUGCACUGCACUGGGCACUGGGGAGAGGGCAGCUCAAUUUAGCAAUUGCUGGCAAGCCACUCAUUCCCAAGAAUGAGUUGAAAUUACCUCUUACACUUCUUUCUCCCUGGUCUUUUAAAUUUCCUUCUUUCUUUUUUUCUAAUAUUGAAAUAUUUAUAGUUACAACCCCCAGUCCCUUGAAAGCAUGAACAAGAGGAAGGAAGACUAGUCCAGGGGUUUACUGCCUUUCCAUCCCAAUCCUUUACAGACCUACAGGAGAGAAAAUGAGGAUAAAGUCUGUUUAAGCACACACAUGCAUAUACCUACUUCUCACCUAAGCCAGGGCCCUUCUUUCAGUUAGCACCUUGCAUCUGAAAAGUCUAUGCCAGGACUGGAAUCUGUACACACAGAUCUUCAUUUAGGGAAACUGGGGCUGCCUAUGUUGGCAGGGGGAAGAAGGGCAGCCUUGUAUGAAAUAUGCCCUGAGUAUCUAAGCUUGUGCAUUUCCCUCUGAAUCCCAUAAUUUCUGAGCUCUCCCAGCUUUGGAAAAAUGGGCUCAGACCUUCAGGAAGCGAAUUCGGUCUGACCCCAUUUACUUCUCUGUACCGUCAAGUGUGUGACCCGCUGAGGGUAUGGCCCCGUUUCUCCAAAUUCACCAAGCAGGCCAUUUCCCAAAGCCCCCGUCCUUUGGUUACCCAGCAGCUCUCACCUCAUCACGCCGGCUUUGUGUCCCUAUCGCAUCGCCAGACCUUGCUGCUUCGAAGAGCCGAGUGUUGAGGAUGGUGAAGAGCAGCUUCGACGCCAGGAGACUCUCACGAGUCCCAUUCAAGGAGGAAAGAAGGUCCCCGUCAGCCUGAGCUGGACUGCAGUUGGGUUGCAUUACUAUUGUUUACAGUGUGUAUAUAAGUGUACAUUUCCUUUAGCAGACAUUGGAAUUUUUUAUGUAUAGAUUUUUAUUUUUCAUCCACAGAUGUAUUUAUUAGCUGGAGUAUUUCUGUUUUGUGAUUCAAGUAAAGUCAGAUUGAUGUAAGCUCUAUGAAACAGAAUGCACAUAUUUUUGUUUAUUUGUACCAAAUACAUGCACAAACCCGUCUAAAACAUU